rnacentral:rRNA from 1 species
CCUACGGGGGGCUGCAGUAAGGAAUAUUGGUCAAUGGACGAAAGUCUGAACCAGCCAUCCCGCGUGCAGGAUGAAAGCCCUAUGGGUUGUAAACUGCUUUUAGCAGAGAAGAAAAGCUUUCAUUAAUGAGAGUCUGACGGUAUCUGCAGAAUAAGCACCGGCUAACUCCGUGCCAGCAGCCGCGGUACUACGGAGGGUGCGAGAAUUAUCCGGAAUUACGGGGUUUAAGGGGGAGGUAGAAGGAGGUUGUGAAAGCUUGUCGCUUAACGAUAAAAUUGCCAAGGAUACUGGUACUCUUGAAUUGGGUUGAGGUUAGCGGAAUGUGACAUGUAGCGGUGAAAUGCAUAGAUAUGUCAUGGAACACCGAUUGCGAAGGCAGCUAACUGGGCCUUGAUUGACGCUGAGGCACGAAAGCGUGGGUAGCGAACAGGAUUAGAUACCCCUGUAGUC